GUGGGCGUAGGAAAUUUGAGAGGAGCUGUCCUUAGUACGAGAGGACCGGGAUGGACGCACCGCUGGUGUACCAGUUGUUCUGCCAAGGGCAUAGCUGGGUAGCUAUGUGCGGAAGGGAUAAGUGCUGAAAGCAUCUAAGCAUGAAGCCCCCCUCAAGAUGAGAUUUCCCAUAGCGUAAGCUAGUAAGAUCCCUGAAAGAUGAUCAGGUUGAUAGGUUCGAGGUGGAAGCAUGGUGACAUGUGGAGCUGACGAAUACUAAUAGAUCGAGGACUUAACCAUAUAA
rnacentral:rRNA from 2 species